rnacentral:rRNA from 1 species
UACGUAGGGGGCAAGCGUUGUCCGGAUUUAUUGGGCGUAAAGCGCUCGCAGGUGGUCCGUCGCGUCGUGCGUGAAAUACCCCGGCUCAACUGGGGGGGGUCGUGCGAUACGGGCGGACUAGAGGUAGGUAGGGGAGAUCGGAAUUCCUGGUGUAGCGGUGAAAUGCGCAGAUAUCAGGAGGAACACCGGUGGCGAAGGCGGAUCUCUGGGCCUUACCUGACGCUCAGGUGCGAAAGCUAGGGGAGCGAACAGG